AUUAUUAUUAUUAUUAUUUUUGUUCAUUUGACUUUGGUUGGGACUCAAACUCGAACUCAAGACGUCAUAGUUAUGGAGAUUAGUACCACCGAGCUAAAACUCUUUUGUAUAACAUAAUUUCUUCUUUUAGCUCCAUUGCUUGCACUUCGACGGUCUAAGAACUUUUUAGGUUGAGAAUUGAGACUCAAGAAUUGAUGCUUAUCUGCUAAAAUAACAGAUUCUUGCAAUUUGUGAAACUAUUUUCAUCUUAAUAUAAAUGCUAACUAAUGCUGAUUUUGACAUUGAAGAUCAGAAUAUUAAUAUAAAUGCUUUCAUCAUUGUGUGUAAUGCUUCCCAUUGCAUUGCCUUAUGUCAGUUGUUCCUUUACCGCACGUCUCAAUUUUAAUUAGUCCUCUUGAAAUUCACCUUAUAUUACUGAUUGGAUUCUUAUUGUUUAUGACUUUGUCACAUUGCAUACUGUUUCUGUCUCAGGUGUUGUUGGUUUCACAUUGUGAG
rnacentral:misc_RNA from 1 species